GUAAGUGGCAUAGUGGUUUGAGCAUUGGACUAUGACUCCAAAGAUUAGGGUUUGAUUCCCAGCUUGGCCA